AAGAAAGUGUAACAUCUGUCAUCUCCCUAACGGUCUCUUCUUCCAUCUGGUGAAGGCGGUGACGGGGUGACUGAUGUGAUAACACAUUAACGCUUUACACCAGACACUAUCUAACCUCUCUCUCUUCUUCAAUUGCUUCGUCGUGCGGCGCAUUUCAUUUCCAAACUUGUUCAACAAUCCGCCAUUGAUUUUCUUCUCAAGCUAACUAUUUACAAUUGAAUCUUUUCCAAUCAGCAAGGAAAACACAGGUGGAAUGAGAAGAUAAGCACUUGGGGGAAGAAGAAUAAUAGAGGUUAUCUCAUGAGCUAAUUUAUGCUUAUGGUCAAGUCACAUUGUAUGGUGGGUUUCCCGCAUUAAGUUGUAGAAAAUUGUAACCGUAAAGAGGGUUAAGGUCUCAGAAUGAUGAUAGUCAGCUCCCCUAUCAAGACUUGCACCAAACAUGUGCUUCCUGUAAGUGGGCAUUUUCAAAAGCAAUUGCAAAGCCAUAUACAGAAUGUCGCAUCACCCGCUACAUCCAGUUCAUGCUGUUUCAUUUUGAAACAAGGAGUCUCAAGAAUCAGAUGUUCUCGAAUUUCAGUCCCCAGCAAAGCUUCAUGCUUUGCAGAUUGUAGCUCCCGUGCAUUUCAAUGGCUUCAGUGCAGAUCUGGUGGAUCCAAUAAGAAGGAUUAUUUUCCUUUAUUAACGAUUAAAAGUUCAGUAAAAGAAAAGAGUUCUCAAGAGACAUCAACUGGUUUCUCACUUUGGCCUCGGAAUGCAAGAGUAAGAAGACUGCGCUCUGACUUGAAAUGUAGUGUUGGACUAUUUUCUUGGUCCAAGGGAUACAGUGCUACUGGUUUGAUUUUGGGAUUACUGGUUUGUUAUUCAACUGCAAAUUCAGCUCAUGCUGAAGCACCAAAGGAGAAGGGCGACAAAAAGGAAUGCAUUGAUCCACCAACUGACCAUUGUUCCCAUGGAAAGGAAGUCUACAACGACUAUUCUGUCAUAGGCAUACCUGGAGAUGGGAGGUGUUUAUUUCGUUCUGUUGCUCAUGGGGCUUGUUUAAGGAACGGAAAACCUGCUCCAAAUGAAAGCCUUCAAAAACAAUUAGCCGACGAGUUGCGGGCUAUGGUGGCAGAUGAGUUUAUCAGAAGGCGCCAAGAAACUGAGUGGUUUAUUGAAGGUGAUUUUGACACUUAUAUUUCGCAAAUAAGGAAGUCACAUGUAUGGGGAGGUGAACCGGAGUUGCUGAUGCUCUCUCAUGUUUUAAGGACGCCAAUUACAGUUUACAUGCGUGACGACAAACAUGGUGGAUUGAUGUCCAUUGCUGAGUAUGGCCAGGAAUAUGGCAAAGACAACCCAAUCCGAGUCUUAUAUCAUGGUUAUGGUCAUUAUGAUGCACUACUAAUGCCAGGAGAGAAAGGUGUCAAGUCAAGGUUGUAGUUUAUGCUCCGUUGACAAUUAGCUCAAGCUAUUAGUUGCACGUCCAUAAGCAUCAGGUUGUCUUGCCGGUGAUGUAGCAUAUGGAGCUUUGUUGAGUUGGUAAUCUCCAAGCACAGAAUGUAUAACAGAAUGAAGCUGAGCUGGCACUAGGAGAAAUAAUCUCCUGUAGCUGCACCACUAUAUCAAGGAGGGUCAUAAUCCUUAACAACCCCCCUCAAUCUAGGAAGAGAUUGUGAAUUAAGCAUUCCUAGCUUGGUACUGAGCUUCAAAUGUUGAGGAGAAGGCAAGGCCUUAGUGAGGAGAUCUGCUAACUGCUCUUCAAUAGGCAAAUAGGACAAAUUGUAUAAUCCCUUUCAUAACUUUUUCUCUUGUAAAGUGACAAUCUAAUUCGAUAUGUUUAGAUUGGUUGUCACAUAGUAACUUAAUAGGUUGUAAUUUAUCAACUCUUAGCUCCUGCAAUAGCCUAAUAAGCCAUGUGAU